GGAAGCCUCCUGCUUCGUAUCCCAUGCUCAGCUGAGUGAUGUCACCACUGGGCUCUUGAGCAAGGUGCCUGACCCCAGUCACGCGGAAGGUUGGCUGACCCUGCAAGCUCACACUCGCAUCGCUUUGCGCAAAAGCAUCUGACAAAAAGCAGCAAGAAAAAGAUGCACUUCCAUCUAUAAUGACAACAUUGACCUUCAGAAGCGAGCAAAUGCAGGGACAGUGACACAGUGAGUCUGGCAUCCGCCUGACAGACUGCAGAAGGACUCAUCCAGUGUUUUCCAAUCUGGUCCUAGGGGACUUGAAGACAGUCCAUGUUUUUUGCUCCCUGCCAGUAGGAACAAAACAUGCGGACUGUGUGCAGCUCCCCAAGGAACGGAUUGGGAAACACUGGUCUAAGUUACUGAAAAUUGGAGCAGGAAAAAAAUUCUCAGCCACAAAAACUGAGACCUACUGAGCAAAACGGCAGCAGCCUGGGGCAGCAUGACCUCUCUCGCUCUCCUGUCUUUGGGACGCCAUGACACCCCCGUCAUGCUCCUACAAGCCUGGGCUUGCUGAUGGCCCUCAGGAGGGGCAAAGAAACAGCACUUUCAGGUGACAAGAGAAGCCAGGAGACACACGCUGGAAUUUUUAUUCAUUCUUCCACUACCAGACUAGUGAUGUUUAAUGCAUCUCAUGGACUUCUGUGAGUCUGCUGCCGUAGUUUCUGUUUAAUUUCACUCUACUUCAUUUUAAUGAAACCACACAUUUAAUAA